rnacentral:tRNA from 1 species
GCCUUCGUAGUGUAAUGAUCAGCACACUCGGACCGUAUUCGAGAGGUCCAAGGUUCGAUUCCCGGCGAGGGCA